ensembl:lncRNA
UGCACGGCUUCUCCAAACUCCGUUUUAAACAGCUCUGAGCGUCUAACUCUGUCCGUAACCCAUGCUGAUGAGACAAUGGCCGGAGCCAGUUGGAGACCGGCUUUCUCAUCCUCCAUCGAACGGACGCGCUGCGGAACGCACAAAGGUGGCGAAAGCAAGCAAUAGUCUUAAAGCACCAACCACGCAGACAAAAGACUGCCUAGGAUCUGGCAACCAGCAAGUAGACGGCAGGUAGAAGGUGUCCCUUGCUUGGGCUGCAGGGCUCCUGGUCGUAGGACCACGCGGAAAGGAAGCCUUCUCUGUGGAGGCUGGAUGGGUACGAGAAGCACCUGGAGGUCACUGAUGUAGGAAGCGGUCUGACCAUCUCCAAGAGUGUGGGGCCCAGGAAAGGGUAUGUUUAAUAGAAGCCUCUGGCUCUGCCUGGAAUACAGGAGGCGCAGGAGAUGCAGGUUCGAUCCCUGGGUUGGGAAGAUCCCCUGGAGAAGGAAAUGGCAACCCACUCCAGUACUCUUGCCUGGAGAAUCCCACGGACAGAGGAACCUGGUGGGCUGCCGUCCAUGGGGUCGCAGAGAGUCAGGCAUGACGAGGCACACAGCACACUGGCCCCAGGCUGGAGGAGGGUGUCCAGGGAGCUCUCACAGUUUCACUUUCCGACGUGGAUCAGGCCAUCCAGACAAACUCGGGAAUUCAGAUGGAGCUGGACAAAGGCAGGGAGGCCAGAGCCCCAGCACCGGAAAAGAAGGCCAAGGGCCCAGAGAGACUAGAAAAGAAUCUGUUUACUUAACAUUGAAACUAACAGGGGGGGAGUCUGGUUCCUACCUGAAGUGGUUCCAUGCAGUUCAUUCACUCCCUCACGCACUUUCUCCUACCAACGUCUACAAACACUUCUGAAAGUGCCCUGUCUGCAAACCUAUGCAGGACGGGUAGAGAGGGGAGCGGGGAGCCCUACAGAGACCGAGGGAGGGGACAAACGCUUGGUCACUGGAGCUCUAAGCUGUGGCUUCCAGGCACUGAAAAGUACUUUUCUCUGACUGAUAAGAAUAAACAUUCACAUGGAGGCUCAGGAAAGGUUCCUGGUCCUGAAGUUGAGUAAGAAGCCCGCUCUCGUAGGAAGAUGCUCUCCCGAUCGCCCAGGUGCUGCAGCUCAUGUCCAGGAUUGGCCCCGCCGUCAGCUGCAGGCCCCUUGCUGGUCUCAGCAUUUCCUUUGUCCCUCGGGCUGGUCCUCAGGUUCUGAGAAGUGUAUGAAUUUCCCCUAAAAUUUCUUGCAGCACAAAAGCUGCUUUUGUGCUGUGGAACUUUGUGGAGGGUUUUGGUUCCUUGCCGGUGGCUUGCGUCCUGUCACUCACACUCACCUCCUGGGCUGGUGAAAAGAAGCAGCCAGCCGCAUCCCCUCCAGGCGUGACAACCCCCAGGAUCCACGAACAUUGAUAAAUGCCCCCCAGGCAGGAGGGGAACUUCCCCAGGAGAACCACCAGUCCGAAACAGCGCCAUCUAAUCCAGAAACCAUCCAGGGCCCCUGAGCAAGUGAAACGUGGCUAGUCCAAAGUGGCACGUGCUGUGGGCAUAAACUGUAUCCUGGAUCUCAAGUGUUUACACGGAAAGAAAAAAAGUAAACCAGCUCAGAAAUAUUUUUAUACGAUUAUCUUACCUUUUUACUGGUUACAAUAAUAGGAUUCUUAAUCCAUUGAGUUAUAUAAAAUAAAAUGUAAGAAUUGAUUUUACCUCUCUCUCUUUUUUUUUUCACUUUGAAUAACGUGGCCACCUAACAUGUUGAAAUAUCAUAUGUGGCUCAGCUGGUGGGGCAUUAGAUUUCCACUGCUCAGCACAGGUCCAGACGCUGCCUGCUAAGGUCCUCCCUGAGCAGGUCCAGAGUCCCUGGGAGUGAGUUGCUGCCACACCAGCAAAGCAAGCAUUUGUCAGGACUCUGCCCUGGUGAUGGAUCUGGCAGCCGAGGCGUGACAGAGGAGACACAGAAUCGUCAGAAAGUCUCCGAUGCUCGCGCCCAGGUUUCUUCUCAGUGAGAACCGUCACACAGUCUGCGGUGUCACCAUUUAGAGGCGACACCCUGCAACAUCCCACAAAGGAAGCAGCC